GAUGAACGCUGGCGGCGUGCUUAACACAUGCAAGUCGAACGAAGCACCUCUCCCGAAGAUUGACACAGCUUGCUGUAGAUUGAUUCAUUUGAGGUGACUGAGUGGCGGACGGGUGAGUAACGCGUGGGUAACCUGCCUCAUAGAGGGGGACAACAGUUGGAAACGACUGCUAAUACCGCAUAGUAAGAAGAAUUCGCAUGCUUUCUUCUUGAAAGAUUUAUCGCUAUGAGAUGGACCCGCGUCUGAUUAGCUAGUUGGUAAGGUAACGGCUUACCAAGGCGACGAUCAGUAGCCGGCUUGAGAGAGUGAACGGCCACAUUGGGACUGAGACACGGCCCAAACUCCUACGGGAGGCAGCAGUGGGGAAUAUUGCACAAUGGGGGAAACCCUGAUGCAGCGACGCCGCGUGAGUGAAGAAGUAUUUCGGUAUGUAAAGCUCUAUCAGCAGGGAAGAUAAUGACGGUACCUGACUAAGAAGCCCCGGCUAACUACGUG
rnacentral:rRNA from 1 species